rnacentral:rRNA from 1 species
GACGAACGCUGGCGGCGUGCCUAAUACAUGCAAGUCGAACGAACCGCGACUGAGUGCUUGCACUUGGUCAAGGUGAGUGGCGAACGGGUGAGUAACACGUGGGUAACCUACCUCAUAGUGGGGGAUAACAGUCGGAAACGACUGCUAAUAACGCAUAGGACAUAGGAUCACAUGAUCCAGUGAGGAAAGGUGGCGCAAGCUAUCGCUAAGAGAUGGACCCGCGGUGCAUUAGCUAGUUGGUAGGGUAAAGGCCUACCAAGUCGAUGAUGCAUAGCCGACCUGAGAGGGGGGUAGCCGACAUUGGAACGGGGACACGGACCAAGCGCCUACGGGAGGCAGCAGUAGGGAAUCGGCCGCAAUAGACGCAAGUCUGACGGAGCAGCGCGGCGUGAGUGAAGAAGGUCUUCGGAUCGUAAAGCUCUGUUGUGAGAUAAGAACAGCGCAUAGAGUAGCUGCUAUGCGUGUGACGGUAUCCAACCAGAAAGCCACGGCUAACUACGUG